rnacentral:rRNA from 1 species
GACGAACGCUGGCGGCGUGCUUAACACAUGCAAGUCGAACGAAGAGCGAUGGAAGCUUGCUUCUAUCAAUCUUAGUGGCGAACGGGUGAGUAACGCGUAAUCGACCUGCCCUUCAGAGGGGGACAACAGUUGGAAACGACUGCUAAUACCGCAUACGAUCCAACCUCGGCAUCGAGGAAAGAUGAAAGGUGGCCUCUAUGAAUAAGCUAUCACUGAAGGAGGGGAUUGCGUCUGAUUAGCUAGUUGGAGGGGUAACGGCCCACCAAGGCGAUGAUCAGUAGCCGGUCUGAGAGGAUGAACGGCCACAUUGGGACUGAGACACGGCCCAGACUCCUACGGGAGGCAGCAGUGGGGAAUCUUCCGCAAUGGACGAAAGUCUGACGAAGCAACGCCGCGUGAGUGAUGACGGCCUUCGGGUUGUAAAGCUCUGUUAAUCGGGACGAAAGGCCUUCUUGCGAAUAGUUAGAAGGAUUGACGGCACCGGAAUAGAAAGCCACGGCUAACUACGUGC